rnacentral:misc_RNA from 1 species
UGCGGUCCACGGGCGCGCCG